AGAAACUUAGGUUACACACCRAACCAAGGCCUUCAAAGCCCUAAACAGAGAUCCACCUCUAGUUUCUG
rnacentral:tRNA from 1 species